rnacentral:rRNA from 1 species
GAUGAACGCUGGCGGCGUGCCUAAUACAUGCAAGUCGAGCGAACAGACGAGGAGAUUGCUCCUCUGACGUUAGCGGCGGACGGGUGAGUAACACGUGGAUAACCUACCUAUAAGACUGGGAUAACUUCGGGAAACCGGAGCUAAUACCGGAUAAUAUAUUGAACCGCAUGGUUCAAUAGUGAAAGACGGUUUUGCUGUCACUUAUAGAUGGAUCCGCGCCGCAUUAGCUAGUUGGUAAGGUAACGGCUUACCAAGGCAACGAUGCGUAGCCGACCUGAGAGGGUGAUCGGCCACACUGGAACUGAGACACGGUCCAGACUCCUACGGGAGGCAGCAGUAGGGAAUCUUCCGCAAUGGGCGAAAGCUUGACGGAGCAACGCCGCGUGAGUGAUGAAGGUCUUCGGAUCGUAAAACUCUGUUAUUAGGGAAGAACAAAUGUGUAAGUAGCUAUGCACGUCUUGACGGUACCUAAUCAGAAAGCCACGGCUAACUACGUG